CUCUCAGCCAUGCCAUCCAUUGCGCUGGAGGUGGAAGGCACAAAGCACUGCCUCCAUCCUUCAAUGGGAGACAAGCCAUAAAUUGUCUUGCUUCCAGCUCUUUAGGAAGCUGUUAAACAACUCGCUUUCCACAGUCCUGUUACAGCAUACCAGGAAACUCUCAUACAAAGGCAGCUCAAAUUGCAUUUCUUCCCAGCCCUUAAUUCGCUGCUUUAGAAUUUCUGCUUCUGCCACAAUUCCUCCUUGCCAACCCCGCUCAGACGAAGUGCCUACAUCUUCCCCUGAAGCAACUGGGCUGAGUCCCAAAUGAUUGUGCACCCAUGUGCUUAGGAGGAGAUAGACAAUAUGCUUUUGACCAACCACAGUUGUACACUGGUGGAGAGAGUGUUGGAAAGCACCUAUGUCAGAAAGGUCCCUUUCCUCUCAGGCUUGCCCUACAUUGCUCUAGAUGUGGAAGGCACAAUGCACUGGCUCCAAACCUCAAGGGUCCACAAGCCACAGACCAUCUUGCUUCCAUCUCGUUAGGAAGCUGACAACAAACUCACCUGACUUAUAAAAAGGUAUCGUGCCCCUUACAUACUGGAAAACCCCGGGAGACAUGCCAAAACAACCCUCCACACACUCUCAAACCACCACACAUUCAUGCCAGAAUGACCUAGAGGGCACACCAGAAGCACCCACCAUGCAUGCCAGAAUCACCUGUAACCAGCUGCCAGACACAGUGGAACAAUGAUGCUGACACUGCAGAACCAACUCUUCAACAUGCCAGGUGCACACAACAGACACACUGGAACCAGCUUCCAAACGUAGAACAACCACAUGCCAGGCACAUUGGAAGCACAUGUCGGAUAUGCCGCAACCAGGUUCCAGAAACACUAAAACCACCUGCAGAAUAUGUCAGAAAAAGGGGCCAGAAAUGCCACAAACACCUGUCUUACAAGUCAGAGCCACGAGCCUAAAAUGCCAGAAAGACAUGCCGGACAUGCCAAAAUCACCUGCCGGCUAUGCAAGAACCACUCCACGGAGACUCUGGAAUCAGACACCAGGCAUGCCAGAACCACCUCUCAGAUGUGCCAGAAUCACAUGCUGGACAGGCUGGAACCACCUCCCGGACAGACCACAACCACCUGCCAGACGUGCCUGAACCACAUGCUGAGCACUCCAGAACCACCUGCUAGACUCGCUGGAAACACCUGCCGUACAUGCCAAAAUCACUUGCCGGCUAUGCCAGAACCACUUGGCUGACACUCCGGAAUUACAUGCCGGGCAUGCUUGAACCACCUCUCAGACGUGCCAGUAACACGCGCUGGAGAAGCCGGAACCACUUCCCGGACAGACUGGAACCACCUGCCGGACACGCCAAAAUCACCUGCCAGCUACGCCAGAACCACUUGGUGGACACUCCGGAAUCACAUGCCAGGCAUGCCGGAACCACCUCUCAGCCGUGCCAGAACCACGUGCCAGGCACGCUGCAACUGCCUCCGGACAGACCGGAACCACCUGCCGGACAUGCCUCAACCACGUGCUGAGCACGCCCGAAACACAUGCUCGACUACACAGAACCACCGGCCGAACACGCCAAAAUCACCUGCCGAGUAUGCUGGAACCACUUGACAGACACUACGGAAUCACAUUCCGGGCAUGCUGGAACCACCUCUCAGACGUGCCAGAACCACGUGCCAGAGACGCUGGAACCACCUCCCGGUCAGAUCGGAACCACCUGUCAGACACACCGGAAACAGCUGCCGAGCAUGCCAGAACCACAUGCUCGACUUGCCAGAAUCACCUGCCGGACAUGCCAAAAUCACCUGCCGGAUACCCCAGAACCACUUGGCGGAAACACCAGAAUCACAUGCUGGUCAUGCCAGAACCACCUCUGAGACAUUCCAUAGCCACAUACCAGACACGCCGAAACCCCCUCCUGGACAGACCGUAAUCACCAGCUGGACAUGGCUGUACCACCUGCCGAGCACGCCAGAAUCACCUGCUUGACUCUCCGGAACCACCUGCUGGACACGCCUGAGCCCACUUCAAAGCACCAUGGAACUACCUGCUCUACUCGCCAGAACCACAUGCUCGACACACCAAAAGCACCUGCCAGCUACGCAGGAACCAGUUGGUGGACACUCCAGAAUCACUUGCCAGGCAUGCCGGAAAUACCUCUCAGAUGUGCCAGAACCAUGUACCAGACAAGCCAGAACCGCCUCCACAACAGACUGCAACCAUCUGCCGGAUAUGCCUGAUCCACCUGCCGAGCACGCCGGAACCACCUGCUCGACUCGCCGGAACCACCUGCCAGACACGCCAAAAUCUGCUGCCGGGUACGCCAGAAGCACUUGGCAGACACCCCGACAUCACAUGUCGGGCAUGUCGGAACCACCUCUCUGAUGUUCCACACCCACUUGCUGGACUCGCCAGAACGACCUCCCAGCAAGAUGUGAACCAGCUGCUGCACAUGCCUGAACCACCAGCCAAACAUGCCGGAAACAUCAGCUUAACUCGCCGUAGCCACCUGCCGGACACUCCAAAAUCAGCUGCGGGAUAUACCAGAACCACUUGUUGGACACUCUGGAAUCACAUGCCGGGCAUGCCAAAACCACCUCUCAGGUGUGCCAGAAUGACCUGCCGGACACGGUGGAACCACCUGCUUGACUCGCCAGAGCCCCCUGCCGGACACGCCAAAAUCCCCUGCCUGAUACGCCAGACCUUCCUGAUGGACACUCCGGAAUCACAUGCCGGGCAUGCCGUAACCACCUCUCUGAUGUUCCAGAACCACAUGCUGGACACGCCGGAACGACCUCCCAGACAGACCUGAACCACCUGCUGCACACGCCUGAACCACCUGCCAAACACGCUGGAACCACCUGCUUGACUCACCAGAGCCACCUGCCAGACACGCCAAAAUGAACUGCCGGAUACCCCAGAACCACUUGACGGACACCCCGAAUCACAUGUCAGAGAUGCCGGAACCAACUCUCAGACGUGCCAGAACCACAUGCCCGACAUGCCCAAACCACCUGCUGGAUAUGCCAGAACCACUAGCCAGAUACUCCAGAAUCACAUGCCGGGCAUGCUGGAACCACCUGCCGGAUACAUCAGAAACAGGUGCAGCACACACUGGAACCAGAUGUCCCACACGUCUGAAUCACCUGCCGGACACGACUGAACCACCUGCAAGACAUGCCAGAACCAGGUGCCGGAGAUGCUGGAACCACCUUCCAGAGAGACCUGAACCACCUGCUGGACAUGCCUGAACCACCUGCCAAAUACAACAGAACCAGCUGCUUGACUCGUGGGAAAUACCUGCCAGACAUGCCAAAAUAACCUGCUGGAUACACUGGAACCAGGCUCCUUAUACGCCGGAAAAACCUAACAGACAUGCCAGAACCACCUGCCGGACACAGUGGAAACACCACACACACAUGCCAAAACUACCUGCCAGACAUGCCGGAAGCACCCUCCAGACAUGUUGGAACCACCUGGAACCACCCGCCAGACACACUGGAACCAUGACUCUGACAUGCCAGAACCACCUGCCAGACACGCUGGAACCAACUCCCAGAAACUCCGGAAGCACCCAACGGACAUGCAGGAACCAACUGCCAGACACGCCGGAACCAACACCUGGACACUCUGAAAGCACCAACCGGACACUACAGAAUCAGGUCCUGGACGCGCAGUAGCCACCUACCGGACACACCGGAACCACCUCAAGAAUGUACCGGAACCACAUGCCCCACACACAGGAACCACCUGCCAGACACCAUGGAACCAACUGUCAGAUACACCGAACCAGGUGCCCGGUAUGCUGAAACCACCUGUUGAAUACACCAGAAACAUGUGCCGGACACUCCAGAAACAUGUGCCUGAUACACGAGACAUAGGUCCAGCACAUGCCACAACCAGGUGCUGAACACACCUGAACCACCUGCUAGACCAGCCUGAACCACUUGACGGACAAUCCAGAACCACGUGCCAGGCACACCGGAACCAGGUGCCCAACACACCAGAACCACCUGCUGGACGUGCCGGAACCACCUGCCAGAUACUCCAGAAACAGGUGUUGCACACGCCAAAACCAGGUGCCAGGCAAGACUGAACCACCUGCAAGACAUGCCAGAACCGGGUGCCAGACAAGCUGGAACCACUUGUGGGACACGUCGAAGUCACCUGCCGGAUACACCGGAACCAUGUGUGGCACAUGCUGGAAUCACCUACCAGACAUGCUCAGACCUACUGUUGGAUACACCGGAACCAGGUGCCUGAUUAGCUGAAACUACCUGCCGGACACACCACAACCAUGUGCUGGACAUGCCAGGACAACCCACAGAACAUGUCAAAAUCACCUGCAUGAUAACCUGUAACCAUGUCCCAGACAUAACAGAACCAUCUGCUGGACACGCACGAGCCACCUGCUGGAUACACCAGAAACAGGUGCAGCACACGCCGGAACCAGGUGCCCCACAAGACUGAUCCACCUGCUGGUCAAGACUGAACCAUCUGCCAGAGAGGCCUGAACUACCUGCCGGACAUGCCAAAACCACCAUCCAUAUGUGCUGGAACCAUCUGUUGCACAUGCCAGAACCACCCGCCAGACAUGUGUGACCCACCUGCCUGACACACUGGAACCAACUGUCGGACACAUUGGAAGCGUCAUCCAGACACUCUGGAGCCACCCACCGGAGAUGUGAGAAUCAGGUCCAGAACAUGCCAGAAGCACCUGCAGGACUCGCCAGAACCACUGGACUGACAUGCCGAAAUCACCUGUCGGAUAUGCCUGAACCACUUGAUGGACACUCCGGAAUCACAUGCCGGGCAUUUCGGAACCACCUCUCACAUAUACCAGAACCAAGUGCUGGACACGCCAGAAACACCUUCUGGACAGACCUGAACCACCUGCUGGACAUGCCUGAGCCACCUGCCAAACACGCUGGAACCACCUACUUGACUCACCAGAACCACCUGCCAGACACGCCAAAAUCACCUGCCGGAUACACUGAACCAGGCCCCUUAUACGCUGGAAAAACCCAACAGACAUGCUGGAUCCAACCACCGGACACAGUGGAACCACCACACAGACAUGCCAGAACCACCCGCCAGACACUCUGGAAGCACCCACCGGACAUGCCAGAACCACCUGGAACCACCCGCCGGACACACUGGAACCAUGACUCCGACACUCUGGAACCACCUGCCAGACAUGCCAGAACCAACUCCUGGACAUGCCGGAAGCACCCAACAGACACACCAGAACCAUCUUCGUAUUGUACCAAAACCACAUGCCAGACACACAGGAACCACCUUGCCAGACACUUCGUAACCACCUUUUGGAAAUGUUGGAACUAGCUCCCAGAUACACUGAAGCCACCUGCUGAAUAUGCCAGAACCAGGUGCCAGACACACCAGAAACACCUGCCAGACAAGCCAGAACCACUAGCCUAACACACCGGAACAACCUGCCAGACAUGCCAAAAUCACCUGCUGGAUACUCCAGAACCAGGUCCUGGAUACGCCAGAACCAAUUUCCAUAAAAGGCCGGAUCAGCCUGCUGGACACCCUGGAAUCACCCACUGGACAUGUGGGAACCAACUGCCAGACACGCUGGAACCAACACCUGGACACUCUCAAAUCACCAAGCAGACACGACAGAAUCAGGUCCUGUACAUGCAGUAGCCACCUGCCAGACACUCCGGAACCACCUUAAGAAUGUACCAGAAUCACAUGCCACACACACAGGAACCACCUGCAAGACUCCAUGGAACCAACUGUCAGAUAUGCCAGAGCCAGGCACCCGGUACUCUGAAGCCACCUGCUGAAUACUCCAGAACAUGUGAUGCAGUGUCCCAGAAGGUGGAGGCAGUGUCCGAGAAGGCUGGGAACCAAUUGCAGCACUCAUCUGUGACCGCCCAGCUGAAGGCAACAGACCUGCCACCCUGUGGGGUUCACUGAGACAGCAGAUCUAUCUGCUGUUUCCAUCAAUUGCUGUGCCAACAGAGCAGCCUCAUGACUAUUGUAAAAGGGACAUUUCAAUCAUAUGUGAAAUAUAAUCUUCGAGGAUAUAUAUCAACCCUGUAUACCCCAACUUCUUUGGAUUGCCCUGUUCCUUUGUGGAAAGACUCUCCCGGGUUAUAAUCCUCAGAUUUCAGCUCAGAAUAAACUCA
ensembl:lncRNA